rnacentral:rRNA from 1 species
GCGGGGCGGCAGCUACACAUGCAAGUCGAGCGGAACGAAGAGGUGCUUGCACCUCUGGCGUCGAGCGGCGGACGGGUGAGUAAUGCUUGGGAAUAUGCCUUAUGGUGGGGGACAACAGUUGGAAACGACUGCUAAUACCGCAUAAUGUCUACGGACCAAAGUGGGGGACCUUCGGGCCUCACGCCAUAAGAUUAGCCCAAGUGGGAUUAGCUAGUUGGUGAGGUAAUGGCUCACCAAGGCGACGAUCCCUAGCUGGUUUGAGAGGAUGAUCAGCCACACUGGGACUGAGACACGGCCCAGACUCCUACGGGAGGCAGCAGUGGGGAAUAUUGCACAAUGGGCGCAAGCCUGAUGCAGCCAUGCCGCGUGUGUGAAGAAGGCCUUCGGGUUGUAAAGCACUUUCAGUAAGGAGGAAAGGUUAAGUGUUAAUAGCACUUAGCUGUGACGUUACUUACAGAAGAAGCACCGGCUAACUCCGUGCCAGCAGCCGCGGUAAUACGGAGGGUGCGAGCGUUAAUCGGAAUUACUGGGCGUAAAGCGUACGCAGGCGGUUUGUUAAGCGAGAUGUGAAAGCCCCGGGCUCAACCUGGGAACUGCAUUUCGAACUGGCAAACUAGAGUGUGAUAGAGGGUGGUAGAAUUUCAGGUGUAGCGGUGAAAUGCGUAGAGAUCUGAAGGAAUACCGAUGGCGAAGGCAGCCACCUGGGUCAACACUGACGCUCAUGUACGAAAGCGUGGGGAGCAAACAGGAUUAGAUACCCGGGUUAGUCCAAUCAC